UGAAACAGGCCUCCUAAGGUGUGUUUAUUAACAUGUGGGCCACACCUCUGCUGAACAAGAAAAUAGGUUACACUUCCAUGCUUGGAAGUUCCUUGCCCCACCACAAUGUAAGUUCAAGGACAGAAAUUGGGUCAGGCCAUUUUCACCAGUUCACUGUCAAGCUUUAGUCAAGAAUAUGGUUUUUAAGGCCUCUGUGUAACUGAACCAAUCCUCUUAACAAGCAUGUUCGGUUCUGGGAACCACGCUGGAGGUAAUAAAAACGGUGAGGGGCUGGAGUCCCUAUCACCUGAGGAAGAGGCCAACUGGUGCUACUGAGCCUCAAGAGAAGCCUUGAGUGAUAGAAGUAGACGGGAAGAGUGCUUAAGGGGUUAGGCUUUUUUCUUAUUUAAACUCAGAUGGAAGUUCUUCUAUUUUAAAGAAUACACAAAGCUUCCUUAAUAAUAACAACUACGGAUUUCAGGGAUCCAGGUUGUGCCCCUAAUUCACAUUUUAUCCCAUCUAAUACAGAAAGAAUAUUAAGAAAAUUUGAGGAUAUGUCUCAGCUCGGUAUGUACCUUGAGCGUUAAAUAUCAACCAACAUUCCAGUAGGGUGGGUCGACAACACCCUUCCAAGUUAAACACAGCCCUGACCUUUCACAGAGGUGCUGUACUGUGGAAGACAGCAUUUUGGUCUGCUCAGCUCCUAUACAAGCUACCAGUUAUCAGGAAGAGUGAAUCAGAAAGGCUUUGUCAACUGGGUCCACAGAAAACUACUUAACAGUCACGAGUCUUGUGAAUCGCAAAGUGUGAGAUGAAUUACAGGGCCUGAAAACUUACUGUACCAAAUGCUUUGAUGUUUGUGAGACUCAAAUCAGGAUUCAAAAUGGUGACCUGUUAAAUAGCUCCUUGAAAGGGCAAAAAAUCAAGACCACAAACACAGAAAUAAUAUCCCCAAAGCAGCAUUUAUUUACCCACUGAAUUCCAAAACAUUUAAUUUAGAAGUCUGGCAUUUCAUAAUCACCCAUCUUGAUUGACGUGGGCUGACACACACGGUGCUGUCAGGAUACACAAGGACAAUAGCCAAAAAGUUACAAAAAAUAAAUCCAUGAUUCUUAAACCAUCGCAACCAAAAAAAGAAAAAGUUACAGGUAUCAAAACUUUAGAUGCAUUGCAUUGAAAAGAAGGUUUGUGCACGUCAUAAUUUAAAGAGGCAAAACAAGGCGCUACUGAAACCUCACGUUGAAGUUUGUUAGAAAGCUGACGGAAAGGAGCAAGUGGCCUCUUUGUGUCAGCUUCCCUUAACAGUUUCCCAUUAGCUGAAGAAAGGGGUGGGAGGGGUGAAUUCAUUUUUGCAUGCACAAGAUGUACUGCUUAACAAAACACUAUCAGCUUGUUUUAAAUGGAUCAUUUAAAUAUCAAUUGUAGCCUGUGUUGGCUAAUUCUCCUUUCUAAACUUCCCCAUUGCUCUCUCCUGGAUUUCACAUAGAUCAACAGGCAUCAAAAUGCCUCAUUCAGAACGCACUUGUCUGCACAUUCGAAAAGGGAGCUCCUGUGGGCUCAAAGCAACCAUCAUUCCAGCAAUGCCCAUGAAGAUUUAUCUGAAACUGCUUCCCAAGGGGCAGGAGAGCAGAUCUGAGUAGCUGUGCUGCCAAUACAGAUAGGUUUAGCACUAGAUAUUUAGUGAUUGUGGCAAGGAAGAAUUGGUGAUGAUGGGGGUGGUGGGUGAAGGAAGGGCCAGGGACCUGAAGGCUCUUCAGUUGCCUUCUCCUGCUUCUUCAUCCUGCUGGUCGCUCGUCCAGAGGGUGAGGUUGUCUCGCAGCAACUGCAUGAUGAGCGUGGAGUCCUUAUAGGAAUCCUCGUUUAGUGUGUCCAGCUCAGCUAUGGCAUCAUCGAAGGCUUGUUUGGCUAAGAGGCAGGCCUGCUCAGGCGCAUUCUGGAUCUCAUAGUAGAACACGGAGAAGUUGAGGGCCAGGCCCAGCCGAAUGGGGUGCGUUGGCUGCAUGUGCUCUUUGCUGAUUUCAAAGGCUUCUUUGUAGGCAGCCUCAGAAGCUUCGACCACACUGUUUUUCUUCUCCCCGGAAGCUACCUCUGCCAAGUAGCGGUAGUAAUCGCCUUUCAUUUUCAGGUAAAAUACCUUGCUCUCAUACUGAAAAUCAUUGCAGUUCUUGAUGAGGAACUUGUCAAGCAGAGCCAGGACAUCAUUGCACACUGUUUCCAGCUCCUUCUCAAUCUUCUCCCGGUAAGCUUUAACUUUCUCCAAUUUCUUUUCAUUUCCAUCAGCCAUGGUCUUCUGCUCAAUGCUGCUGAUGACCCUCCAGGAAGAUCGCCUGGCACCAACCACAUUCUUGUAGGCCACAGAGAGGAGGUUUCGAUCUUCAUUGGAGAGAGGUUCAUUGAGCUCCGUCACCUGCAAAAUCCCAAAAAAAUAAACAUUGAGACAGAUCCAAGUCUGAAAUUCUUAGAAGAAACCGCCCCUUCAACCUAAUCAACAACCCUUUCCAAAAUCAGGAUUAUGGACAAGCCACUCCAGAGAAAAAUUGGUCAGAUAUGGACCCUACCUGAAGGGAGACUGUAGUCUAAUAGAAGAGACAAAUAGUUGAAAUUCAAAAUAGGAAGUGAUAGGGCCUUGAGAAAUCCCUCAUUCAGAACUUAUAAGGUGCUGGUGAAGGUAUGGAGAGAAGGAUAAUCAUGGAAAGGUUGUGAGGUGAUAGUACAUAAUGGCAGGUGAAAAAGUCCUGAGGUCCAGCUAUUCUGCAGAAUAUAUUCUUAACAGUAAGAUCAUACAAUUCCUUUGUCAAAUGUUCAAAGACAACUAGAGACCGGAAGUCUGUUCCAGAUUCUCCUUCCAGCUUUAUAUUCUGUAAAGAACUGACUACACCUUCCUCAAAUACAUACUCAUAGAUAAGAGCCUCACAAAUGAGAUCAAAUACCACAUAGAUCUAGUGGCCAGAGCCUUGCCCUGUGUGGUUCCCUAAGGAAACCCGUUGGUACAACCAGCCGUCCCUCAAGCCAAAAUGGAUGCAUUAGUGACAGCGCAGUGGUCCCAGCCUCUGCUGAAAGGAAGCAUAGAUACUCAGCAGCAAGCUUUACUCUGACCUACUGACAGGAACCCUGGACUGGCAAUCAAGGAUAGAAGCAACAUUUAAGUGGAAAUGUUUCAUUUUAUGAGUUGUAACUUGCUGGUUCUCCAUGAUGCCAAUUCCGAGUGAGCCAGCUAUGUAGUUAAUGAAAGAGCACUGGCUUUGGCUGUGGUGUUAAAUUGUGUCCCCAAAAAGACAUGUUGAAGUCCUAACUUUUGAUACCUGUCAAUGUGACCUUAUUUGGAAAUAAGGCCUCUGCAGACACAAUCAAGAUGAAGUCAUACUGCAUUAGGGUGGCCCUAAAUCCAAGGACUGAUGUCCUUAUAAGGAAAGAGAGAUUUGGAGACACACAAACACAUGGGGAGAAUGUCAUGCCAUGCGACAAUAAAGGCAGAGAUUGGAGUGCGGUGUGAUGUAUCUACAAGCUAAGGAAUAUCAAGGAUUACCAGGAGCCAACAGAGGCCAGGAGACAGGCAAAGAAGGAUUUUUCCCUAGAGCCUUCAACAUCUCGAUCUCAGACUUCUCGCCUUCCGAACCGUGAUAAAAUAAAUUUCUGUUGUUUUAAGCCACCCAGUUCGUGGUACUUUGUUUGGCAGCCCUAGGACACUAAUACAGACUUGCAGUCAGAAAACCUUGGUUGGGCCCCAGCAAAACCACUAACUUGCUAAAUUGACCCGUAUCUUCCAUACAGUAGGGAGAUUCCUUAAUUAUAUGACCUACCAGUAAAGCUCUUUAAUUUAAAAAAACAAAGAAAGAAAAGCACUUAGGAAACCAUCAAACACAACAUAAAGGUAUUACUUAAACCAAACCAUAAGGACAGAACCUCCUCCGAUGGAGGGAAAAGCCAAGUUCAACGGAAAAAUUUAUUAACAGCAUAUUAAAAGACAUGUUAACACGGACUGAGAAGACUGAGCAGUGAAGAAUCAGAAAGUUUAAAAACAAAAAACGAUAGGUUUAUUUUAAAAAUUACUAGUUUGAGAACAUAAGCAACAAAUGAAAUCCAUUAUUAAAGGUAAAAUUAUAAAACUCCCGGUCCCCAGCCCCCCUGCUCUUUUGCUGCAAAUCCUAAGCCCAGGAUUGUCUCUCCUCCGUGGCUACUCAAUCCAGCAACCCCACUUCUUUCUUCAGUGUGGUCUUUGGCUACCCGCUGCCUCCCGCCCAUUCCCUAAGAGGGCCGCCGACAAGCCAGUUUCCUCAUUCCGCCUCACAGAUUCGAGUCGUCUCCAUCCCUCUGUCCGUGAUCCGCCCCAGUCCUCAGCAAUCUUCGUCUCUCCACUAAUCCAAAAUCCAGGCUCCCUGUCAAGGAGACUUGUAACCCCACUCGUUUUCUCCUCCAGUGAGUGCCUUUAAACACUCACAUACUCACUUUUGUUACUGGAAAUAUGAAGAGACUUUGUAGAUAUUUGUUUGAUAAUUCGGUCUUUUAAGGAAUCAAUCCUUAUAAAUCAAGAUCCCAUCUAAAAUAUUCUGACAAAUCUCAGAAUGCUUGAAGCUUCUAGAAUGACUCACUUUUCUAGGGCAAUAUUCAAUAAGACAAAACAUGAGGCAAGAACAGAAUUUGGAGAGCUCCUUAGAUCUUGCAGUAAAUAAAUUCGACUAAGGCCACUUGACAUUAAAAUGCAAAUAAUAGGGGCGGGCCCGGUGGCCGAAUGGUUAAAGUUCACGUGCUCCGCUUCAGCGGCCCAGGGUUUUGCCAUUUCAAAUCCUGGGCGCGGACGUGGCACCACUCAUCAAGCCAGGCUGAGGCGGCAUCCCACAUGCCACAACUAGAAGGACCCACAACUAUGUACUGGGAGGCUUUGGGGAGAAAAAGGAAAAAUAAAAUCUUAAAAAAUAUAUAUAUAUUUAAAAUACAUAAAAUAAAAUGCAAAUAAGAGCCAUAAGGAGUCACUAUAUACUCCAUCCUGUGACUAAUAAAGCUGAGCAACAGUCAGAAUGUUGCAAAGAUUCACCCAGGUAACUCCCCAGAGUAUAAUAUUAAAAUUUAGUGCAUACCUGAAAUACAUUUAUAUCUCACACAGGAUGUUUAUAACAGGGGCAAUAUCAUUACAAAAAAACCUAAGACAUCUGGAGUUUAGCCUGAGCUACCUGUGUGACUUUGAACUAACCACCUUUGUGGGCAGCAAAAGUAAAAUAAGGGGGAUCAGCCCAAACUAUCUCCAAGGACUUCCUCAGCUCCAAAAUUCUAUGAUUCCAUUUUUCCUGAGCAACAAUAAAAGGUGUGGCAAGGCAUGAGGUUGAUAGUAUUAACGUAAAAGAAAUUUGGGUGUAUCUGCGACUUUCAGAAUUCCUGUAGUAUAUCCCUCCUCCAUGGGGAAAUAAACUGCCAAAAAAGGCUACUGGGCAAUAUUUAUAAAGACAUCGCCACAAGAACAAUCAUUUACUAGGAGUAUUAGUGUUUAUGUAACAAUUAUCUGGUUGCCUGCCAGUCUGAAUGAAUCACUAUCAGCAUCAGCUGAGGGUGACUAACAUCACUAAGCAGGCAUUGUUCUUAGAACCCCAGCCAGGGCCUAACUAGGGAAUAACUGAAUAGGUUUAAACAUAGAAUUUUUUUUAAUACUCCUGGGUUACAACUCAGUUAACAAAGGGAAACUUAUGGAAGGAAGAUAGUUUUAUUACUAUUUGAUUGGAUAACUAAAGAAAAUUGAGAGUUUCCCCCAGAAUGGAAAAUUACAGACCGAAGUAAAAUUAGAUGGCCUAUUGAAACAAAAAAGAAUUACAGCCAGCCUUGAUUACUGAUACUUAUUACUGAGCAUAACCUUCGCCAGUUCCCAACACUUCAAAUUCCAAAAUACUGGAGCCAGGAGACGUAAAGAAAAGCUUGGACAUACACUAAGAGAAGCAGACACCGGGAGGCAAUGUAGUGUGAUGGAAAGGAAAACAAUACACUACCAGCCCGAUCACACUAAUGCUAACCAGAGGACGGUAAGCAGAUUCUAUGGAGAGCUUUAUUGUAUCUCUACAAUCAUCCGUUUCCAGUUUCUAAUUAGGAACACGAGGCAAAGGCAAGACAGAAUUUUCAAGAUAGAAGAGACCUACACAAUGGUUCAGAACCUUCUUUCUACUCCACUGCCAGGAGUUUCAACAUUCUCAUUUCCGCCACACAUCAGCUGCCCUCAGGGCAGCCACCCCAGACACUAAGUCUUCAGGUGGCUACACCAUCUCUAAGGGGUUCAUCCACCUCUGCCCACAGCCUCUCUGCCUUCUUGCUCUCCUGCGCACCUCCCCACCCCAUUUAAUCCCACUUACCCUCUUCCUGAAACCCUUAAAUUGAUGGACCCUCCCCAUUUAUAAAGGUCCUCCUCUCCAUUUCCUUUAAGGACUGGACUCCCUGCCAGCCAUCCUACUGAUGUCCUUACCACACAGCCUUUGGCUGCACCAAUUCCAACUCCAGGGCACCCAUUUUCUCUGCUUCAAACACCACACAGCGUUACUAAGAGUCAUGAAUAACCUGGUCUGCUACGAAAUCAUUUAUCUUCCUCUGACACCAUUCGCUGACUCAAAAUUCCCUAAAGGCCUCCCCUCACUAACUCACAAGGCAAUAAACUAUGUGUUUUUGAGUAAAAAUAGAUCUACUGCCAAAAAUAGCACAGGGACUAUUUGGGAAAAAAAAGUUCUUAAUCUGGGAAACGUCCAACCUCAAAAGCAAUAUUGAGCAAACAAAAAAUGCCACCUCUGAGCUGCCAGGCCACGUUAGCAAAGUUAGGGUUAAUAUUACUUCUCCCGAACAGCACUCCCAUCCUUCAUAGCUACACGCACACACGCUACCGUCCCAUCUUUUAUAGUCGCCCACACCCAAACACUACCAACAAUCUUGCUUUUGAUAGGAGUUUAGAACAGAAGAAAAUGAUUCUCAUGAGCAAUCAGGUAGACAUAACCACAUCAUAAAAUCUUUAAGCUUCUUUGGCAGAAUCCCGUGUCUUUUUUUUAAGAGCUAGAGCGAUGAAAGCUUUUUUGGCCAACUCUUUGCCAAGUUAAUGCCCUACAAGUGAGGAUUCUGCCUGGUCCCACGCUGGCAAAGCACCCACCAACAGUCACCACUUGCCCAGCCGGGAGAGCCCACUGCCUGUUCUCACCAGGGUAAGGCUGCAGUUCCGCAAAGGCCGCAAGAGAGGCUGAACUUCACGCUCAGAGCAGAGGAGUUCAGGUAAUUAAUAUCCACUCUAAGCUCAGCAUUAGUCAAAGAAAACAGCUAACUUUGUAUUGUUAAGAGACUGCUUUUGUCUUGCUCUUGACACAACUCAACAUUUUCGUAGGCAUUGGCAGCAAUGAAAUGCAACCGCAUCUGAAUGGCAUUACUGCAUGCUACUGUCCCUGGAGGCACCAGGACUAAGGGCUUCAGAAGCUGUGCCAGGUCCUGAUCAGAGGGAAGUGCCAACACCCACUACCAAAGCGGGGAAUGCCAUCGCAGCAAGGAGUGGGAGGGGCUCCCAAACGGUGGGGGCAGAACUGGCAGCCUCCACUUGGACACUGGGAGGAAUUUUAUCAACAGCCUAGAGACUGAAAUUUGGGGUCCCAGACUUAUGAAAUAUGCUAGAUGAACUAUGAAGAAACAAUUGGAGCCAAGGAUACGAAAAUUUCUUAAAAUACCACAGUAUAAUUUAACAUAGUCCUCUACUUCUUAAUUCAUAGCAGAAACUCAAAUUGAAUUAAUACUUUGCUUUUUAAGCUAAAAAAACUCCUGGUCUUCAGGAAAACAAGCAAAAUCCAGAUGUGCCAGUUUGCCUUUCAUGGUCCUCUGCUAUAGCUAAGAUCCCUAAGUGUCAGAUUCUGUUUUUACUCUAACUUGGCAAAAAUGACAUACAUCUAAUAGAUGAAAUUAUUUGUUCAGUAAGCCCGCUUGUGUAAAGGGAUUAGAAUUUCAUCACCAACGAUGACAACGGCUAAUAUACCAGAAUGUAUACUAGAAAUAUUACCCCUUAGCCUCACAGGGCAUGAUCAUACAGUGGCUAAAGUUGAGAGCUCUAAAUUCAAGAGUUCAAAUCCUGGCUUUACAAACUGACUGUGAGAAAACAAACCUCCUUAAAUCUCAUUUGUAAAAUGGAGUUAAUAACAGUAUCCAUCCAGAGUUGUAAUAAAAAUUAAAUGAGAAUGUACACAUGGUAUAAUAGAAACCAUUUACUGAGUGCCUGAUAACUAAAAUGAUAAAUCCCAUUAAACUUGAAGUAUAACACAGAAAACACAUUUGGGGUACCCCCUCCCAAACCAUAUUUCUGGAAAACUGCAGUCUACCACUAAUAGAAAAUUCCAGGCAAAGAUGAGGAAACACGUUUUUGGUGUAAGUGAGUAAUGAGAUCCUUGACAGUGGGAGCUCUUCUGGGGAUAAUUCAGGAACCCCAAACCCAGAUAGGAGCCACAAUUUCCACUUCGGUGCAGCGAAGCUAUGUGAACUGUUUACCUUCUUUAGUGCCUUUUAACACAGACUAUUGCCAGAAAAAUCCAAAGCCUUCUUCCUUCCUCAGCCAAUAUGACAAAGCAAUAAUUACAUUUCAAAUGACCAGUUGGUAGGAAACAGGGCUCACUAGUUUACACAUAUUUCAAACUGUUAUAAAGCCAAUAUGGCUUUAAGAUUUCACAGUAACCACAAUUUUGGUACACCUCAAAAUCGUCCUUUGUUUUAGUAUCUGCAGCCCGGCUAUGUCUCACCCCAGGCCACACAGCCGUGCUCUCCUUUUACACGCCACCUGCUCAUCUCCCCACUUCCCAUAAUCUCACAGCUGCUGGAAUAAGAGCCUUUGGCCACUGGUUGGGCCAAGUGCCUCAUCCUCUCCAAGUCCUAUUUCCUUAAGCUACAGCUUUGUUUCCUGCACUUAAGACUUCUACAGAUAUUCUUCAAGUCCUUCAGACGUAUUUCUCCCUGUCCUUUGUCAACUCUGUAAUCGACUGCGUAGCAGUGUUAAAACACACCAGGCUAUCCCAAAUGAUUUUUACAUUUCUAUAAUUUCACAAUUACCAUCCAUAUGAUUUAAUACAAAAUGGAUGACUUAGGGUAAUAAGAGACGUGACUGAAUUAUGUCUAUCCACGAACAUUCACAGGACAUCUGAUUAUUUACCCUCUCUCCUCAAAUCUCUCAGUCUUAUGCACUAACACUUUUACCCCAUGUUAUAGGUUUAUGUCAUGGUUUUCAUAAGAUGGUAUUAUACCCAUUUGACAGAGGUUACGAACUGCGUAUGGUCAUUUCAAUCCUGGCCUUAAAAAGGACUUGGGUUCUAAAACCUUUCAUGAUGUUCCUGCCCACUAUUACACUCUCUGUAAGCUACCAGGUAUGAGAUGAGGAGAGCUUGAAGAUGCUCCUUCACUCCAGAAACAUUUCGUGCCUCUUCAAAUUAUGGGGUGAGGCAAGGAACUGCAGUUCUCAGCUGAUGCGAGGCAACACCGUCGUGGACCAGUAUGCAUUUUUCUUAAAGCUUACCGACACACACCAUCUCCUCCAGGUGACGCUGGUAGCUAAGGAACAUCAAUCAUUAUAGGCGGGCAAUAUUAUCAGGUCACCAUUUAAAUUAUAAAGGAAACAGAAAACAAGUUAGAAGAAUGAACGCUGAAACCCAGCUUGACAGUAACACCAACAUGACAAGUUUUGCACUUCAGAGGACCGGAAGCCAAGAGAUGUGAGUUUCAAGGUCACAGAGUGGCGGCAUCAGAGCAUCCCCUCACUCAGGUGUGCUGUUCCAUCAUCUCUGGAGCAGUCUACUUACCUGCCAUGAAGAAAACCCACAUAAACCCAGAGGGUUACUAGAAUUCCAGCUUUUUCCAAAAGCUCUACUUAAGGCCUAUAUUAAUAAAAUGGGGAUUGAGCCUUCUCAAUAACAUUAAGAAUUUAACAUAAAAAACAUCGGUAACUGUUAGGUAAAACACAAGAAACUGUUUUCCACUGACCCCUGCCAAGUCCUUUCCAAAAAAUAUAUUCCAUUAAUUUAGAUGACAAAAAAAGUUCUUAUUUUUUUUUAAUACAAAUUACCUUGAGGGAAUGGUUUAUCACAAAUUCUGAGAUGACAUAAUUAGACCUGGAUUGAAUUUUCAAUGCUAGAUGGCUUACCCAACCCGUCAAUCAUUUCAGAUAGAUAUUACAGAUUCCCAACACACAGAGGGGUCCAUCCGUUUGCAAAACGCUAUCUCAAAGUGUCAGAGAAAAUCUGUGGACACAAAUAGCUAGCUGCAGGGAAGCAUUUUUGAAGGCUGCUUAUGAAGACCAGCCAAUUUUUCCCGUUCCCCAAACUGUAUUUCAUUCUGGUUACAUGUCUCCAUUCUCCCCUUACUUCCCAUUUCUAGUUGCCUCAGGUUUCCUAUAGCUCCAGAAUGUACAGUCUAGUCAUUUUCCCUCAACUUCAAUUCACCCUUCCUCAAGCCCCAUGCCUUCUUUACUCCUCAAAGCGCUCCUAACACUGCAGCCUUCAACCACUCACAGGGGGGCUGAGGGUUUCACUAGAACCUCCAGAGAGAGGCCUCAGCCUGCAUAAUCCUAGUACCACUCAGUUACUGAGGAGAAGAGGCUCACUUCAAUGUGACUUGCUGCGUGGACAGAAGUGGCUUUAUCCCAGAGAAAAUUAAGCUCAGGGUCCCUUCCGAGAAAAUGCAUUCUCACAGUCAGUCCUCUUUCUAUAAAAUUUGAAAAAUUAAUAUAUUUUACAUUCAUUUUCUUAAAGAGGGCCCCAGAAUGAUAUAGCCUCCAGGUCCCAAACCAAGAUCGUCCCUGGUUUGGAUGAAAGCUCCUAUCUAAACCUCGACAGCAUGCCAGUGCUCGAAUCGGGAUGAGCAACGAAUCAAGAAAUGGGUGGUGGUGGUUUGCAAACACACCUAGUUCAAUAUGCAACAAGGACAGCUCAGAAAACUCUUCAAGUAUCCUUCCUUCCUGGAUAAUCCUAAAUGCUGACCUCGACAACAUAUUUCAUAUUAUACUAAUAUCAAAAGCCUUAAAAGGCGCUUUUCAAAUGAUUCUGAAAUUUUAGGCAGCCUCUGGAUUUGUAGGUUUUUCUCUAAGAAAUCCCCCCCACAAAGCCAGCAAAAGGGCAAAGGAGCUAUAUAUAAACCAGGGCAGUAAUUCUCGAACCUAAACCUGCUAAAACUUGCCACGAGAGCUGGUUAAAGUGCAGAUUUCUGAGUCCCACCCUCAGUUUCAGAAUCUUUAGGUCUAAGGUGGAGCCCAGGCGGAUCCUCCCACGUCUCAGGAGGUUGUACACCGGAUGAACACGGCAGGUUGGUGGCCGCAGUUGGAGCUCUACCACUGUGUGACCUUGACGCAGAGAGAAGUAAUAAUGUUCAUUUAGCGAAAACGUAAAACAACGUGAACAGACAGGGACAGUGAGAGGAUAACCGGAACUCUAAGUCUCAGAAACGCAGGUGGUGUCUAAUCCACGGUAUUUGCUAGGGUGCGGCUGGGCACGACUCCUGCACCGGAAAUCAAGCUGCAGCAUCGAUCUAUGAGGGUCUCGGGAAUGCAAAGGCACACAGGCUCGUCUCACCUACAAGUCACGUCUCAUUUUAAUCUCCAGGCAGAUGGGCGCAGCAUCGAACCUGGGAGUGGGGCCCACACCCGCCCUCCGCCCUCCGCCCUCCGCCCUCCCGGCCGCGUCCACGCCUAGACUGCAGGAUGGGGGUCUUCGCACACAAAGCCAGACCCCGGGCGUGCGAAGAUGGAACGUCAACGAUUCGGGCGAGCAGAGCUAAACGGAUCGGAAUGACACAGACCUCAGUUCGUGGCAGGGAAAACCAGGAGACAGGGCGCCACUCUCUAGGUGAUUCUUUAUUACAAGUUGGGGUGUGGAGGAAAGUGAGAGGGGGGUGAGCCCCCAAGUCUGGCAGAACAGUCUAGGAGGAAUGUGGCUCCCUUAUGUUUCCUCAGGCAUCCCCCUCCCCUCACCAGGGCUCCGAGCUAGGCUGCGGCGACCCCCGCCCGCCCGCAGGGGUCACCGUCGCCCGCCCGUCGCCGCGGUGCUGCAUUUGCGACCCCGAGCCGCCCCCUCCCCGGAGACCCCACCCGGGCCCGGCCGCAGGAAAUGGCGGGGCGCCCGGCGGGCGCGGGAAGCGCGGGCUGCCGCCGGGCGGCCGCGCCCAGCGGGGUCGCAGGGUCGCCCCGGGCCCGGAGGGAGACGCCGCCCGGCCACCCAAGCCUCCCCUCCGCCGGGCCCCCCGGCGGGCCGCCCGGGCUCCCGGCGAGCUCACCGCCUUCAUGGCGGAGGCCAUGUCGUCGUAGCGCUCCGCCUGCUCGGCCAGCCGCGCCCGCUGCAGCAGCUGCUCCCGGUCCCCCAUGUCGCUCGUGGCUCGGCCUCGCCUCGCGCCCCGCACCGCUCGCUCGCUCGCCCGCCCGCCGAUCCGCUCCCGGGUCUCCGCGAGGGCCGCCGCCGCGCACGCGCAGUGGCUCGCCGGCCGGCCGGAGGCUGCAGGCUGCAGGCAGCAGAGCGGCUCGCGCCCUCUCGCUGUCUCGCCCCGCGCGCUGUGGCUCACGCCGCGGACGCCGCCGAGGGAGGAGAGGCGGCUGCGCGGGGGGAUGGGAGCACGCGAGGACGCCUGCGCAGUGGGAGCGGCCGGGCCGGGCGGCGGGGAGCGGCGGGAGUGGGAAGGGGGCAGGGCGGGCUGGCCCUAACGGUCUAUUUCAAGGUGACGUCACCUACUAUAAAUAGCUGCUGCCGCCGCCGCCCAGCCCGAGGGCCGCGCAGGCGCCCUGCGAGUGCUGCAUUUUACCGCCGCAUAGGUGGAGGUGGGAGAGGAGAGCGGGGUGGGGACUGCGGAGCCCCAGGAGGGCGCGCGGUGAUGGCGGCGACGCGGGCAGCGCAUUCUCACAGCCCCACCCUGAAAAGCGCCUCAGAAUCCAGGUUAGAGAUCUGGCUUGAGAAGGGCCCGAAAAGCAAAUAAACCUAGUGCUUGGAGAAGCCAGGAGGCCGCGUGCCCGGAGGGGCGGACGGGCCCGCCCACGCCAUCUCACCCGCUCGGAGCCCUGCCUGGCCGAUGGGGUCGGCGGGGCCACACCCUGCACUUGUUUCCGCAACUGGCUGGGGCGGGAUUGGGUCCGACAUCUGGGGACAGCCCCAUACACACACGUUGACUCACUGCACCCCCACCCUGAGAAGUGGCGUUGGGCAGACUGUGCCUUCCACGAAGGAGGGACUGGGUGGCCCCGCUGGGACAAGUAACAUGCACGACACUCCUAUGAGGAGUCGGCCAAGUGCUCGGCCUUCACGGGUAUAAUCCUGCUUAAUCCUCGCAACUCACCCUGCAGGUGGGCACAGUUGGGUUUCCCCAUUUUUCAAAACCAGAUUAGCGACUUGCUCAAGAUUACCCGGUCUGUAAGUGGUGGACCUGAGUUCAUAUCCAGACUGGAUUUCCUCUUGUGGCGAAGAGGACCCUCUGGCUGGUCAAUAAGCCCCUCCCAGUCCUGGCAUUCGAUGCUGUGGGUCCCUCCUACCAGGCCCUGGGCUGGGCCCCGGACAAGCUAGGAAAAUCCCAGUGACUGAAACCUGGGCCGACUUAAGUACAACACGCCAAGGGCAACACAGGAGGAGGGGCUUGCGGCGCCGAGAAUUUUAUUGAGCACCUACUGCUUGCUCAGCGCUGGGGGAAGGAGGAGCUACAGAAUAAGUAAGAUAAAGCCUCUGCCUUAGAAGCCUAGCUCUAAACAUGCAAGAGCAGGUAAGCUGGACCUCAACCUCAGCGAAAGAUAUUAGGGAGUAGGGUCCAGCAUGGGCAAAGGCUUGGCAGUGAGGAUAGAAACAAAAUCUGGGAGGUGAGAAGAGAGGCCUGGCAGUGGUAAGACAAGGUUACGGAGUGUCGUCAAUGCCAGCUGAAGAUUUAUCCUUAGCUAAUUGGGAACCACUGGAGGUGUGGAAGCUGUAUCUCAGGCCAGGAGUCUUGCUCUGGAGAGUAAGAUGCAUUAGAAAGGAGGGACUGGAGAGUGGGCCUUUUCUGACCUCAGUUUUACCAUCUGGAAAUUGGACUUGAAGGAAUGUGAAAAGCACUGCAGAAUAGAAAUCCUGGAAUGUCAGAGCUGGCAGGACUCUUAGAGUCACUGCUGUCCAACCGCUUAUCCUGCAUAAGGAGAAACGGGUCUGAAGAGGAGGAGAGGCUGGCCGAAGUUUACAUAGCCAGUGAGCAGAGCUGAGGCUUCCGUAGCAGGUCUCCUGACUCUUGGGCCUUCGCCCUGCUAUGAUGCUAAAAUGAGGACCUCAGUAUCCAUGAAACAGAAUUUGAGUGUGGGUCUGGGAGGAGGCCCCCAUCCCAGGCUUCACCAUGCAUGCACCUUUGCUAACUACAAAUGGAAUUGAGGUUAACAAACUAGGCUGAUCUUUUCCCUAGAGAAUUUCUUUAAAGAGUGCAAUAGAUGAUAAUUAAUUGUCCACCCCACCCUCCAUGAUAAUGGCGCUCCAGUAAGAGGUGGGAGGAAGGCCAGCUCUAGUGGGGGGAGCUCCAUGGUUCCUUCCAGCUCUUAGAGGGAUUAGAGCCCUUCUAGCUUUUCUGAUCAUUGUUGGACAGAGAGUGAUUUCAAAACAGUGAAAAUUAGGUAGACUGGAGCAUUCUAAUCACAUUCAAUUCUAGUUGAUUUUGACACUCAUAAAUGUCAAAUGUGGCACACUUUGGUUCUCCCAUGAAGCUUUUCUUUCCUUCUCACCAAACUUCACUGUCACCACUUCCUCACCUCCCACCCAUCCCUCAGCCCAGUGUACUCUGGCUCUGCCCCACCCCUCCACCCAGGCAGCCCUCCUCUUGUCAAAUCCAAGGUCACUUCAUAGUCCUCACCUUCCUGGCCCUCUUGGCUGCACUGGGCGCAACUGCUCCCCCCUCCUAGACAGCCUCUCCUCUUAGCUCUCAUGACCCUGCUCUCUCCUGGCUUCUCCCUGCUGCUCUGGCUGCUCCUCUCCUGUCUCCUGUGUAGGCUUGUCUUCUCGGCCUACCCCGAAAUGCUGGGGUCCCUCAGGGCUCCGUCCCAGGGCCUCUUGUCAUUCUCCCCUACCCUGAGUGACAUCAUCCACGCGCACUCUUGAGAAGAAGGUAACAUCUACCACAUUCCCAGCACUGGGCGAGGGGCUUUGCAGAGACAGGUGUAUUUUUUCCCUCAGGAUACCUCUGUAAAGUAGGCUGAUUUCCAUUCCCCUUUUACAGGUGAGGAAACUGGCUCAAAGAUGCUCCAUGACUUGAAUAAAGUCACACAGCUGGUAAUCAACAGAGCCAGGAUUCAAACUCAGGUCCAGCAGACUCCCCAGCCUGAUGGCCCCACGCUACCCUCGCCUUAGCUGAGAAGGGGCCAAGGUAUGGCUCCCCCUUCAGGGUCAUUCAGAUUGUGGAAAGCACACACAGCCUCCCCUCUUACAGCCUACACACUUCUAGCAGCACCCACCUUCUUCACCCUCAGGAGAGAGCUGCCAACUCCCCAAAACCUCGUAAAUAAAGACCAGGACAACCGCCUUGGGCAGGUCACCUACUCCCAGGGCUCUAAGUCCCAUCAAGAAACAUGGCCUUUGAACAGCUUCAAAGAGAGCCCCUGAACCAGAGGAAGGGGGCUGGUGAUUAAUGUCAAACUCGCUGUGUUGCCCCAGAGCUCAGAGCAGGUCCCCGCACAGGGGCAGGUCUGCUGCAUCUUCACCUGGUACAGGUCUCGCUCAGGGAACAGAGCAAACCCCCUCUGGCGACCUGAGAACCUGUCUGUGGUGUAAUGGGGGAAAAGGAUCUGAACUUGGGUUCAAAUCCUGCUCUGCCAGUUACCAGCUGAGUAUCCUUGGGCAGGCCACUUGUAAACCUGGACUAACCACACCUGUUUCUUGGGGCUGGCAGUAGGCAAGAGCGUGUUUGUACCGCGCCUGCACAGUGCCAGCACAUGGGAAGCACCAGCCAUCACAGCUAUAUGAUAAUUCCUUGCUGCGUCCCACCCUGAGGCUGCGGUAAUGACUGUGGUCGCUUGGGUCUGAAUUUCCAAAGCAUUGUCAUAACCCUCCACUGGAGCACAGUGAAUAGGUGACCCAGAAAAGGAACGUCCUGUUUUUUUCCUCGGGUACUCUGGGACACUCUGAGCUUCCUGAGAAGUCCAGACACCAAGGGACAUAUUACAAAGAAGACCUGGUAUUGUUCUGGAGAGAUGGCGUGCACACUGUUGGCAUGGUUACCACCCUGAGCAGAAGGGGCCACCUGCCCACAGAUUUGUGUCACCCAGAUAGGAUUUUAAUUUUUUUUCCCAAAUGCAGGCCUCCUGCUGGCCAGGUGACCUCGCUGAUCCUGAGCUGCUGAUAAUAGCACGGCCCCCAACAGCAUCAGCAGCAGCUCUUGCUUAUUAAGCCCUGGCUCUCUGCCUGGCUUGGGGGUAAACACUUUACCCCAUAUACUAUCUCACCAAAUUCUCGCAACUCUUGGUAGGAGGUUGUUAUCCCUUUAUAUGGAUGAGGAAAAUGAGACCUAGAAGGGUCAGAUGCUUGCUUGGUGGUCCAGGCAGUCACCCACAGCCUCGCCACUCACACCUGCUUCCUGCCAUUUGCUUUGGCCCCAGUGUUCUUCGCUGAUACCACAUUCCACCCCCUGUGUCUAAGAUCAUCCAGAGCCUUCCACCACUCUCAAAGCCCUCUUUGAGAGCAGAUCAGCUCCCAACGCAGGUUUUGGCAUUAAGAAGUGUGAAAAUGUCCUGGUAGCUGCAAUCUGCGAGCUGGUGGAGCUCGGAGCCCCAUUUUCAGCACCCGCCCCCCCUCAAGCUUGUUCAGAGGAGCUCAGCUCUGGGGGAGAAGGCAAAGCUGUCACCUAUGGAAUCGCAGUUAAAAUGAUGGCGAAAAAGGCUUUUGCUUCAGUUCUGCAGUUGGUUGAGGACUUGUGUUUCUUAGCCAGAAUUUUCCAGAUCCUUUGGCUGGAACCAUCUGGAUAAUUGCCUCAAGCAUCUGUGUGGUUCCCACGAGGUGGGCCCAGGUGCGAGGGACUAUGUGGUCUUGGAAAGCUGGAGGACGGGGCCCAAGUGCUGUGACUUCCCCUCUGCGAGCCUUGGAUGUCUUAUUUGUAAAAUGGGAGGCUGCAUUGGUGGGUGGCAGGGUCCUUUCUUUUUUCUAGCUCUGAAGGUCUAGGGUAUUUCACCACUGGAAGUUCAAGAAAUAACGGCAAUGACAACUCAAGAGAUGAAACAGGGAUGCUUCAGAGGACCAGAGUUUGGACCACAUCAAUACAUGGAGUGGAAGAGGGUAACAAGAACCUACUCUGUAGGUCAGGGGCAGCAGUUUGCCAGUGUGCUCCCACUUGGUUAAAGUAAGGUCGGUAUUGUUUCAAUUUUACAGAUGAGGAAACUGAGGUUAAAUGUAUUCUCAACUGCAGCACAGAAAGCAGGGCAGAAACCAGGAUCCAGACCCACUCUACCUUCACCAUUCUUUCCACUGCUGCCCCUGACCUUCUGAGAGCCUGUGAAUACUCUUUUGGUUGUUGAGCUGUGAGCAUAACUGUCAUCAGCUCCUGCUUAAACGGUACCCUGGGAAGUAAGGGAGAGGGUUGCUGAGUUUUCACCAAGGUUCCCUGCCAGGCAACUGUGCUAAAAAACAUCUUUUCUUCCCAGUAUGUGAGUAGGAGGCGAGCAGAUUGCUACAGCCUUCUGUCUUCUUCCAGACGACAAUGGCAGGCUGGCCCCGACUCAGGAAACAAAGGGAUCUGGGAGGAAUGAAGCCACAGGAGAAAGCCGACUCCAGGAGGCUGGUCUCUGCAGACACAGCACUGAGCUGCUGCUGGAGUCAAGGAUGAGGACGCCAAGGGCCCAGAAAGGAGCAGACCAGCCCAGAGGCUCGCAGGGCAGAGCUGGGGUCUGCCUGGUCUGCAGUCACCCACAUGAGACUGCAUCAGCUGAGUGGCCAAAUAACCAAAAUCCUAACCCUGUCGUGAAGCAAAGCCUCCUACAUCCUAUAUGUCUAUAAAGGAGGCAUGGAGGCAGCCUUAGUUACCACUUGACAGAAGAGGAAACCAAGGAAGUGGAGGAACCCAUUGUUCAAGACUCAGGUCUCUGGACUCCAUCCUACCUCAGGGCCUUUGCACCUGCUCUUUGCUCUGCCUGGAAUACUCUUCCCAAAGAUCUUCCCAUGGAUAAUGUGGCAGCUUAAAGAUAGCUGCAAAUAUUUUGCCACUCUCCCCAACAAGAGGUGGUAUCUCUUUCCCCACCGCUUGAAUUCAGGCUGGCCCUGUGACUUGCUUUGACAACAGGAUGUGACAGAAGUGACCCUUUAUGAGUUCAGGAGCCUAAGCCUAGAGUUCUUGCAGCUUCUGCCUUUGCCCUCUUGGAAUGCUGCCCCUAGACCAGCACAGAAGGCAGCCAGUCUAGCUGACUAGAGGAUUAGAGGCCAUGUGAUGGGGAGCUGAGGCGCCCCAGCUAACAGCCAGCACCAACUACUGGAUGUGUGAGUGAGGCCUUCUUGGACCUUUCAGCCCAGCUCUGCCUCCAGCUGCAUGUGUGACCAGGAGAAAUGGGUAGAGGAACCACCCAGGCCAACCACAGACUUGUGAGAAAGAAUAAAUGGUUGUCGUAAGCCACUAAGUAUUGGAGCUUGUUACAUAGUUUUGGUUUUUACGUGACUAUAGAUAACUGAUCCAAUUGCCUCCUCCUCAUUAGAUGUCUGCUCAGAUGUCACCUCCUCAGAGAGGCCUUUCCUGAUCAUCCUAUCUAAAACAACACAUCUACAACUGCUCCUGACACCCGGCCAGUCGCUUUCUAUCCCAUUAUCCUGUUUCAUCCUGUCCAAGGCAUUUAUCCCUAUCUGCAAUCAUGAUUUAUUCACUUAUGGAUUAUUGUCCAUCUCCUCCACUAGGCAGCGGGUUCCAUGAGUGCAGGGGCCAUAACGGUUUGCUCCCUACUGUCCUUCUGGCAUCUGUUUAGUGUCUGGCACAGGGAAGAUGCCACAAAUUGUUGUUGGUGGUGCCCCUUGCUGAUGUGGCACUUAGGGCAGCAGAAUGGCUGGUGUGAGCUCCUGCCUUGCCAUGUCCUCCAAAACCAGUGCCCUUGGGAGGGAAGGGGGACAGGCCAGGUGGCUGGACUGUG
ensembl:lncRNA